GCUGUUGCGCGGGCUAUAAUUUUCAAACAUAUAGCCGCGCGUCUGAUCAAUGCAGUGAAACAGCGGGUUCCAAGAAUACAUAUAAAGCAUGCGCUCGGACAACGAAUUUCCCAAAAACAUCUUGCCGGAAAAGAUCAUAUUUGCCCGC
rnacentral:ncRNA from 1 species